GCCGGGAUGGCGGAGUGGUUAACGCGCACGCCUGGAAAGCGUGUGGUCGAAAGGCCUCCUGAGUUCGAAUUGGCUUUCGGAAGAAGUUUUUUUUUCGAAGGUUGCGGUUGUCUCAGUCCCGGCG
rnacentral:tRNA from 1 species